rfam:Chryseobacterium indologenes NBRC 14944 DNA, contig: CIN01S04.
GGCUUAUAAAGAAAGACGGAGGGAACUGACCCUGAGAAGUCUUAACAACCUGCGUUGUGUAAGGUGUUACAUUCAGCCUUUAAUGGAAAAAUAAGCA